rnacentral:rRNA from 1 species
GUAGGGAAUAUUGCACAAUGGAGGAAACUCUGAUGCAGCGACGCCGCGUGAGUGAUGAAGGCCUUCGGGUCGUAAAACUCUGUGAUAAGGGAGGAGGAUGACGGUACCUUAUCAGAAAGACCGGCUAACUUCGUGCCAGCAGCCGCGGUAAUACGAGGGGUCUAAGCGGUGUUCGGAAUCACUGGGCGUAAAGCGGGUGUAGGUGGCUAUGCAAGUUGGAUGUGAAAGCCCCGGGCUCAACCCGGGAAGUGCAUCCAAAACUACGUAGCUUGAGUGCGGGAGAGAAAGGCAGAAUUCCUGGUGUAGUGGUGAAAUACGUAGAUAUCAGGAGGAACUCCGGUGGCGAAGGCGGCCUUUUGGCCCAGCACUGACACUCAGACCCGAAAGCGUGGGUAGCAAACAGGAUUAGAAACCAGUGUAGUCC